GCUUGCGUAGCUCAGGGGUAGAGCGUUCCCUUGGUAAGGGAGAGGCCGCGGGUUCAAUUCCCGCCGCAAGCUCCA
rnacentral:tRNA from 1 species